AUGACGCCUGCAGAGGUGCGCGAGGCUGGGUGUCCAUCUCACUCACCCAGCCUGAAAAUGUCUAUGUGAAGAAGCGUAAGCAAAACAGACACUUGUGCUAAUCACUGUUCAGAGCUUGGCUGCUGAGUGUUUUCUGGGAGCUGCAUUGUCAGUUGAGGGCUGCCCGCUGCGUGGGGUGGAUUCCCCAGCCCUCACAGGAUAAUUUUAUCACAGAGGACAACAUUUGUAGUUCUGCAUGAGUGGCUCUCCUGGCGAGAUAAAGAAGAGACAGUGAGCUGAGGCUGAGGCUGAGAAGGCUGGCAUAUGUGAUGUCUUCGGGGAUCGGAAGCUGUAAAGAAAGCUUUUAUGGUUCCCUGACUGAGGAUAAUCAACCCCUUCAUAAUUUAGAAUCCAAAGAUUGGAUCUUCUGAGAACAUCAGAGAAAGACUGCCCUUGCCAUCCACACUGCAACAAAACUUCAGAACCUUGAACCUUGGGUUCAUAAUCUCACAACAAAGAAGGGUCCCUCCAUGUUCUUGGAGCUGUACACCCAUUGGAACUCUUAAGACAUAUGGCCCUAAAGCACCUCAGAAGAAGCUGAAGGAAAUCAGCCUCCAUAGCUUUCAAGCCCCUGGACUCCUGGAGCCAGAAGUUAAUUCACACUCUGAUCUCAGAGAAGUUCAAGACCUUCAGCAGAACUUUUCCUGGCCAGGGCAUUUUUGCCCCUGAGAUAUGUCAUUAAACACUGUAACCAGGAACUUCUGUUCUUACCCCUGUCCUUCCCUUCACCUUUUAUAGUUACUAAAUGCAAUGUUUUAUUUUUC
rnacentral:lncRNA from 10 species